CGAAGUUUGGGGGGGUAUAUAGGAAUCACCUUGUCCGUCUGUCUGUCUGUCUGUCUGUUCUUACGAGAGGUACAUUGUGGGGUAAAAUUAACGUAUUUUCCAGCAGUGUGGGGUUUUUUGGGUACUGUGGGGUUAACCCCAUAAUGAAGAGGUCUAAUUACGUUCAAAAUUACUCUAUGAGGUCGAAAAACCUAAAAUUAGAUUUAACCUCACAAAGACUUUGUCCAAAUUUUGGACAUGUCCUUAGCCCAAAACGCUCAGACAUUCAGAAAUCUGCUGUUUAGAGGAGUUCGGUAAUUGAAUCGAGGAGUUCCGAAUACCUGAGCAUGCGCAUAUAUUUAAAACUAACUGCGCAUGCGCAGAUUACGGAAGUAGCUGUGUUUGGACACUUUGUAUUAGCAGUGAGGAAAUUCGGAAACACAAAAAGCAAAUGCAGUAAGUCUUACUAUUUUGUUGCACCACAUUGAAAAAAAGCUUUGUAAAUUGUUUGACAUGCUUCAUACGUACAUUAUGCAGUUGUAGAAUUUAUUUAAAGUCAAGGAAAGGACAUCUGUAGUCCACAUAAACACAUACCUAUUGAAAACGGGCUUUUGUGAAAAAAAUUAUAAUGAAUGCACUGAUAGUUCUUUUUUUAAUCAGAGGUCUGCAAUGAAAAUCGACCGAUACCCGGGAGUCGGGCUAGUGGUUUUCUGCAUGAAGGUCGCCCCGUUGGCCAGUAAAAAAAGAUAAUAUUAUUUAUACACAUGCAAUACGUGCAAAGCACACCUGAGUUCAGAUACCACUGAAAGUGAACAUCAGUGGAACUUUGAUGAUCUAGGCCACUCUAUUGUUGCAACCAGCAGGCGUCGGACAUUCAUAAAGUUGAAAGAACAAACCUAUGACUUGAACACACAAUUUGUGAUCUGAAUAUAGUUCACAAAUUUAAGGAAAGCAACUAUUAAAGACAUCCAGAUCGGUGGUAUACAUGAAGUAUGAGUUAAAGACUUUUCAGAGAAACAAGCACAAUCCCGAUUCAUUUUUGCCAUUGCCUUCUCCAAACGGCGACAUUCAGGACCUGACUUACUUUUCAGAAAAAGAAGAUGAAUCGAUUUUUGAAAGUUAAUCUAAAAAGAUAACAUUUACAUGGGUCGUGGAUUUGAAUAACAUUUUCUUGAUGGGCAACUAGUUUCAAGUAUUUGGAUGUCUAUUCUCAAGUUACUGCAAACCUUAAAUUAACUUCUUGAUUAUUAGUUAAAUGUGAGACCGUGUUAACUUGAAGUAAUCAUUUUUUUGAAUUGAGCUAUGUAAUCUCUGAUUACUUAUGUUUAUGAGUAGUGUUCAGCUUUAAGACAAAAGGAUCUUUUGUGAACAUUGCAUUCGGCAUAGCGAAUUUCUAUACAUUAACAGUCAUAGUUUUCGUCUUUUUUAAUUAGCGAUCUCAUUUUAAAUGUGAGAAAUAAUUAUUAAACUGAAAUGUACAUUUAUGUUGUUUGAUUUUAAUUUUUUGAAAAUUAUAAAUCAAUUGCAUGUUGGUUUUUUUUUCAUUUUAUUUUAGGGGAUGGGAGUGGGGGUGCAGCUCUAAGUUUGAGUAUAUUUUCCAAAAGGAUGUACAUCGUUAUUUUUGUUUUAAGAUCAAUUUUAAAAUGCAAAAUGAUGAGAUAUUAGACUACACUUUUUUUCUUAAAACUUCAUUUUAAUUAAUAUAUUUUGUUUAAAAUAAGUAGCAAUAACAUGCAAGUUUUAGAGUUAUUUGACAACUCACUAUAUACUUGGUUUUUUUUUUUUACAUCUAUGAAGAUUGUCUCAAAUUUUGAGGGUUUUUUUUCUGUGUUCUACAUUUAUUGACAUGUUUCUUAUCUGUGUUCAGCUUGUCGA